CGAGGGGUGCAAGCGUUGCUCGGAAUUAUUGGGCGUAAAGGGUAGGUAGGUGGUCUUAUUUGUCUGGGGUGAAAUCCUUGAGCUUAACUCAAGAAGUGCCCUAGAAACGGUAAGACUAGAGUCCUGGAGAGGGUCGUGGAACUCCCGGUGUAGCGGUGAAAUGCGUAGAGAUCGGGAGGAACACCAGAGGCGAAGGCGGCGACCUGGACAGGUACUGACACUAAACUACGAAAGCGUGGGGAGCAAACAGGAUUAGAUACCCUGGUAGUCCACGCUGUAAACGAUGAGUACUAGGCUUGGUGGGUCUUGACCCCCGCUGAGCCGGAGCUAACGCACUAAGUACUCCGCCUGGGAAGUACGGUCGCAAGACUA
rnacentral:rRNA from 1 species